rnacentral:lncRNA from 1 species
GUUCCCUGUAUUCUGCGCACUUGCAAGGCUGUCCACCCAUCUUGUAACUACCGCACACGUCACAUGGCUGGGAGCGUGGCCAGCACCCGGGUCCUGCUCUGGAGGCUGGGCCCUCAACCUGCUGAAACUGUGGCUGCUGUCAGCGCCAGGGGACUGGAUGAGACGUCAGUCACAGAUGGAGGGUUGUGUCUGACUGAUUGCCUCAGCUCCAGUGUGAUGGACAACCCAGACCUUCUACUGUGCCUGGUGAUGGUGAUGUACACAGGAGGAACACGGAUCAAAUCAGCUGCUGGACCAGAAUCCCUCAAUCUCAGGUAAGUAGGGGUGAGUGAUGUGUUGCCUCUCGGAGACUGCUCAUGACGACCGAUGACCGACGUGGACAUGGGCUGCCACCAUGAUGGACAGCACCUUAUAGCCUGUGAGAGGAACUUAUAUACUCUCUUGUCUCUGGGCAGAAUUGCCAGAUCAUGGGACCAAUCUUUUCCCACCUUACAGAAGAAGGGCACCAAAAGCCCAACAAGAAGGGAGACCAACAUGGCUCCCAGACAACUUUACAGAAUUCAAAAUGUGAUUGUGAACAAUUUUUAAAACGAUGCCAUAACACAAUAUACAGUUAGAAUACGUAACGUAACAGUUUUCCCAUACAUUGAGGCCUCAACUAAGAUCAGGUCUGUACACAUACACAGCCCUGGUGUACACACAAAGUUGCACUAGUUUAAAGGAGUGAUGUUAAACCAAUACAGUCUCACUGGAACUACUUUGUGCAUAUUGGUUUAAACCUGAUUUAGUUUAGUGGGAUUUGAAGAAUGCUGUAAUCUAUUGCAUCUCCAUCUACAUCCACAGAGAAAUCCACCUGAUCAAGUGCAGAGAGGAUACUCAGGCCCUAAAACAGGAAAUGAAAUAGCCAUUGUUUAUAAAUAUUGUAGUCUUGUGUUCCCUCUGCUGCUUCUUCAGCUGCAGUCUUACAAUUAACUUUACACAGCUGUACUGAGAUCAUCAGUGAUGUUGGAAUGCACAUUAAAAUUCAAACAAAAUGUUAUAUUUCUAACUCUGUUCAAAAAAAGGAUCAAAAAUACGAUGAAGGAGAAAAUGACAACAUGGAUAGUUCAUAUUCAAGUUUCCAUGAACGUGAUAUAAACAAUAAGAGUUAAAUAUAUAUAC